ensembl:lncRNA
GUCAGUGUCCUUUCCGGGUUUUCUGAAUAUAGUUUAGUCUUGUUAUACCGGUGUCUUGAUUCCAGUCUGUUUAUCUCAUCCUGUCUGUCAGCUGCCUGCCCUGGAAUUAUUAGCCUGUCUUGGACUAUCCCUUUCAUCUUGCCGUUCGGACUGUGUUUGCACCUUUCCUGGACUAUUGGUCAUGUUGUUGGAUUAACCCUCUUGUCAACCCCUCUGGAUACAGUUAGCCGCCGAUCGAUUUGAAAUUGGAAAAUCCCCAGAACCUUCCUUCUUUGCUGGUUCCAUCUGACAUCUAUGAAUUACUGGUUCUGUCCAGUUCCCAAGCCCUUCCUGAUUUAUUGGUUCUGACUCUGGCAGAACCACAGUGGCCUGCUGAGUCAUUGCCAAAGCCGAGAUCUUCCAACCCUUCGACUCCACCAUGACGCUCUCCAUGUGACUUGCCACUAGAGAGUUCAUAAGAAACUCACAUACUACAGCUUUCACCUUCUAUUGAUCUGUUCUUUUCAUGAGUAUUGUAAAUUCUCUCCUUGCACCAACAAAAUUGGUGGUCAAAUCUUAGUUGAAAGUGCUUGAUAAGUAAAGCUGAUUAUUUGGUUGUUCUUUGGGAGCAUUGCCGCUUACUUUGUUUAAGUGUACUGUGACUUGACUUAAGGGGACUGCCAGUAGUGGGCACUCAUGCAACAUAAUCAAUGACGCACAUCUGAGUAAACGAGACAGAGGGAAGUUUGCAAGUGAAGGGCAUAAGAAAUAGACUGGAAUGCAGCCCAAAAAUGGCCUUGCAGUAAGUAAGCCUAUGUCUUUGCUCUUGGAAACUACUUUCUUUAACGUCAACCUCUUUAUUUUAUCUGAAAAUUCUUCUUCUUGAUCUAGCUUAAUAAAAGCAAGUUUUGUUUUCCUUACUUUCUAAUAAGCUUCCUUUUUUUUCUUAUAGACUUGUAUUGGUUCUUUGCUUAAUACCUUUGUAUUCAUACAUUUGAUGAUCAGCUGAAUUUUUCAGACCACAUAGCUAAAACUGUCCAGUCCUGCAGAUUUGCUUUAUACAACAUCAGGAAAAUAUCAGGCCCUUUCUUUCGUAACAUGCUACACAACCC